ensembl:lncRNA
GUCUUUUCGAGGUGGGAGCCGACUGUUGUGAGGUAUGGUGCUGGGUGUAGAUGCAAUGUGGCUCUCGAUAGCACCUUAUGGACAGUUGUGUCCCAAAGGAGGGAUGACAAUAGCUACUGAAGUAAGUUGAAAAUUCCUUCAAAAAGAUUUAAAGUCACUGGAUGUGCCACAAUGAUGACAGUUUAUUUGCUACUCUUGACUGCUAGAAUGAUGAGGAGCUUAACCACCAUUAUCUUAACUGAGGCACCCAAAAUGGUGGUUUGGGGAACAUAGAGAGUACACCUAAGUUCACAUGAAGUUUCUUCCCAGGUCCUAAAGAGCAAGCCUAACUCAAGCCAUUGGCAUACAGGCAUUAGACAGAAAAUUAGAAGUUGAAAUGGUGGAGUGCAACUUGUCUGGACCAGCUUUAUUUUUCUGGUAAGUAUUAAUGAAAAUGCUGAUAGUGAUAUGCUUACUGCUGAGCUAAUGGUUUAAGGCUUGGCUGAUGAAUACUGACUGUUUUCCUUGAACAUGUUUGGAACAGUGUGUAUUUUCCUUGAGCAUGUUUGGAACGGGGUUUGUGUAAUGAUGUUGAUCAAAUGUCUGACCUGAAAUGAGCGUGUAGACAGAAGGUAACACUGAAGAACCCUGUGACAGACAACUUUGAAAAGAGUUUAAUGAUGUUUAGCAUUUUAAUAGAAGGCCUCAUUUGUAUUCCACCUCCCGGUAACAUUUUUAUCUGUGGAUGGCUUGCUUGGGUAAGGACAUGAAGAUAGUUCCUCUAGCUUGUUUGUUUCUGAAAUGUGGUCUUACUAAUUGAUGACUGUUACACAGAGUCGUUUUGUUAGAAAAUUUUGAAAAGUAGGCAGUAUGAAAGUACUGUAUUAAAGCAGUUAUUUAAAAGCAUUAGAUAAGAUAUUUGAAAGUAAAUAUUUGAAUAUUGUUUACUUUGAAAAGUAAAUGAUAUUCAGUGUAGGAAAUGGUGUGAAACUUUUUCAGGUGCCGAUGUUUGGAGACCUUUUAAAGGUAUGUUUUAUUGAUGUUAACAUGUUUAUUGAGUGAGCUACUGUUAGUGAUGAUUUUAAAAUUAAAGCAGAUGGGAAUCUCUCUGAAAGAAAAUGGAGAUUAAUCUUAAACUGAAACAGUAGUUGGGAAAUCUUUUAGAAAUCCACCUAUUACUUCUACCUGUUGGUAAAGGAGAUUAAAUUUCUGCAGGUAUGGAGAGUCGACUUGACUACACCGUGUGGAGCAAGUUUUAAAGAAGCAAAGGACUCAGAAUUCAUGCUUGAAGAAAUGCAGGUUAGUUUAAACUUUUAAGGAAAUUUUUAAGGUGGCAAAAGGUUUUAGUGGCAUAUACACCUUAAUCUGUAGAUGGGAGUGAUUAGCUGUUUGAAAGUUGAAAUGUGACUGAAAAGGAAAUUGAGUAGGGAAAUUUUAAAUGGGAUUAUUUUUCAUCUUCAAACAGGCAGACCUGUUAUCCUAAACUAGGUGAGUCAGCUUUUGGUACAUGUGAUAAUUUUCAAUGUAACCAAUGAUGUAAUGAUUCUGCCAAAUGAAAUAUAAUGAUAUCACUAUAAAACCGUUCCAUUUUGAUUCUGAGGUUACUCUACUAACAAGCAUCACACGUUUGUUUUUUGCCGUGAUUAAUAUGUUGUCUUUGCUUUCAGGGUUUUUAAUGACUACAGCAAGCAAGCAUGUAGCUUUACCGCUUGAAAGGGUCUUGCCUCAUCCAAGCUGGAGUGCAGUGGCCCUUUGAGGCUUACUACAGCCUCAGACUUCUGGGCUCAAGUGAUCCUCAGCCUCCCAAUGGUCUUUGUAGACAGCCUGAUGGAGUCUCAUGGCACAAGAAGAUUAAAACAGUGUCUCCAAUUUUAAUAAAUUUUUGCAAU